UUUUUCAGUACCGGGAAAACAGGAGCGUGUGAUUGGGGUUUACAGUGUUUUCUCUCGCGCUCUUAGUCUCUAGGGAAUUCGGGCUGUGUUUAGCGGCUGGGAUAUUGUAGAAUUGGUUUUCAGAGAAGUUCCUCGACUCCUGAGGCGAAACAUAAAGGGAUGGGAGUGGUGUGGGAAUUUUUCUCUGUCGCCCAGGAUGGAGUGCAGUGCAGUGGCGCGAUCCUCCAACCUCCGCCUCUCGAGUUCAAGCGAUUCUCCUGCCUCAGCCUCCCGAGUAGCUGGGACGCGCGCCACCCCACCCAGAUGAUCUUUUUAAAUGCAAAAUGCCAUCGAUGCGGAAAAUCAAAGAAUCAGCUUAAGUUCCAGAAAAAAGAAAAACCAACCAAAUGAACAAUAAGACAACAACAACAACAACAACAACAAAAAAGGCCUUUUGGGAUUUUGGAUGAUAUUGCAUCAAAUCCAUACAUUAACCUGAGAGACAAGAGACUCCUUCAACAUUGAGCCUUCCAAUCAUGAUUUUCAAUUCAUUUAGGUCUUCUGUAAUGUUUCAUAAUAUAAUUGUAUUUGUUGCUAUGCAGAAGUUUCACUGAUCUUUUAUUAUCUCUCUAUAUAUUUGAUAUUUGACACUAUUGUAAAUAGUAUCUUUUUAAUAUUUCAUUUUCCUUUUUUGUUGCUUAAAUAUAUAUAAAGUAAGCUAAUUUUUCCAAACUAAUUUUUAUAUCCAGGAACCCUGCUAAAAUUUCUUAUCCAAUAAAAAUAUAAAUGUGU